rnacentral:rRNA from 1 species
AGUGAACGCUGGCGGCGUGCCUAACACAUGCAAGUCGAACGGGCUAGUGCUUCGCACUAGCCUCUUUCUGGGGUUGUUACUCUAAGGCUACCUGCUAAAGUUAUUGCUUUAAAGCAGGGGUUUUAGGAGACUUUCCCCGAAAGGGGCCAGUGCGGAGCACUGGCCAGUGGCGAACGGGUGAGUAACACGUGGGUAAUCUACCCUCGAGUGGGGAAUAAGCUUCCGAAAGGGGGUCUAAUGCCGCAUAACGUUUCAUAACGAUGGUUAUGAAACCAAAGCCCAAAAGGCGCUCGAGGAGGAGCCUGCGUCCUAUCAGCUUGUUGGCAGGGUAAUGGCCUACCAAGGCUAUGACGGGUAGCCGGCCUGAGAGGGUGUCCGGCCACACUGGAACUGAGACACGGUCCAGACUCCUACGGGAGGCAGCAGUGGGGAAUUUUGCGCAAUGGGGAAACCCUGACGCAGCGACGCCGCGUGGAGGAUGGACGGCCUUCGGGUUCGUAACUACCUCGUCACGAAGGGACGAACGUACCGACG